rnacentral:piRNA from 1 species
UGACGUGGCAGGUGGUGUUGGGUCACUGA